UACGAAGGGGCUAGCGUUGCUCGGAAUCACUGGGCGUAAAGGGUGCGUAGGCGGGUCUUUAAGUCAGGGUGAAAUCCUGGAGCUCAACUCCAGAACUGCCCUUGAUACUGAGGAUCUUGAGUUCGGGAGAGGUGAGUGGAACUGCGAGUGUAGAGGUGAAAUUCGUAGAUAUUCGCAAGAACACCAGUGGCGAAGGCGGCUCACUGGCCCGAUACUGACGCUGAGGCACGAAAGCGUGGGAGCAACAGG
rnacentral:rRNA from 1 species